GUGCUUGUUCCAGCAGCAUAUAUACUAAAAUUGUAAUGAUACAGAGAAUAUUAGCACGGCCUCUGCAAAAGGAUGACACAAAUUUGUGAUGUGUUCCAUGUAUUU
ensembl:snRNA U6 U6 spliceosomal RNA